rnacentral:rRNA from 1 species
GACGAACGCUGGCGGCGUGCUUAACACAUGCAAGUCGAACGGAAAGGCCCUGCUUUUGUGGGGUGCUCGAGUGGCGAACGGGUGAGUAACACGUGAGUAAACUGCCCUUGACUUUGGGAUAACUUCAGGAAACUGGGGCUAAUACCGGAUAGGAGCUCCUGCUGCAUGGUGGGGGUUGGAAAGUUUCGGCGGUUGGGGCUGGACUCGCGGCUUAUCAGCUUGUUGGUGGGGUAGUGGCUUACCAAGGCUUUGACGGGUAGCCGGCCUGGGAGGGUGACCGGCCACAUUGGGACUGAGAUACGGCCCAGACUCCUACGGGAGGCAGCAGUGGGGAAUAUUGCACAAUGGGCGGAAGCCUGAUGCAGCAACGCCGCGUGCGGGAUGACGGCCUUCGGGUUGUAAACCGCUUUCGCCUGUGACGAAGCGUGAGUGACGGUAAUGGGUAAAGAAGCACCGGCUAACUACGUG